AGUGAACGCUGGCGGUAGGCCUAACACAUGCAAGUCGAACGGCAGCACAGGAGAGCUUACUCUCUGGGUGGCGAGUGGCGGACGGGUGAGGAAUACAUCGGAAUCUACUCUGUCGUGGGGGAUAACGUAGGGAAACUUACGCUAAUACCGCACACGACCUACGGGUGAAAGCAGGGGACCUUCGGGCCUUGCGCGAUUGAAUGAGCCGAUGUCGGAUUAGCUAGUUGGCGGGGUAAAGGCCCACCAAGGCGACGAUCCGUAGCUGGUCUGGGAGGAUGAUCAGCCACACUGGAACUGGGACACGGUCCAGACUCCUACGGAGGGCAGCAGUGGGGAAUAUUGGACAAUGGGCGCAAGCCUGAUCCAGCCAUACCGCGUGGGUGAAGAAGGCCUUCGGGUUGUAAAGCCCUUUUGUUGGGAAAGAGAUCCAGCUGGCUAAUACCCGGUUGGGAUGACGGUACCCAAAGAAUAAGCACCGGCUAACUUCGUGCCAGCAGCCGCCGUAA
rnacentral:rRNA from 1 species